rnacentral:rRNA from 1 species
UACGUAGGGUGCGAGCGUUGUCCGGAAUUAUUGGGCGUAAAGGGCUCGUAGGCGGUUUGUCGCGUCGGGAGUGAAAUCCACUGGCUUAACUGGUGGCUUGCUUUCGAUACGGGCAGACUGGAGGUAUGCAGGGGAGAACGGAAUUCCUGGUGUAGCGGUGAAAUGCGCAGAUAUCAGGAGGAACACCGGUGGCGAAGGCGGCAUCCUGGACCGAGAUUGACGCUGAGGAGCGAAAGCUAGGGGAGCAAACGGG